rnacentral:rRNA from 1 species
UACGUAGGCAGCAAGCGUUGUUCGGAAUUACUGGGCGUAAAGAGUGUGUAGGCGGUGCUCUAAGUUUGGUGUGAAAUCUCCCGGCUCAACCGGGAGGCUGCAUCGAAUACUGGAAUGCUAGAGGGUGGGAGAGGUAAGCGGAAUUCCUGGUGUAGCGGUGAAAUGCGUAGAUAUCAGGAGGAACGCCUGUGGUGUAGACAGCUUACUGGACCACUUCUGACGCUGAGACACGAAAGCGUGGGUAGCAAACAGG